UACGUAGGGUGCGAGCGUUAAUCGGAAUUACUGGGCGUAAAGCGUGCGCAGGCGGUUUCGUAAGACAGAUGUGAAAUCCCCGGGCUUAACCUGGGAACUGCAUUUGUGACUGCGAGACUAGAGUACGGCAGAGGGGGGUAGAAUUCCACGUGUAGCAGUGAAAUGCGUAGAUAUGUGGAGGAAUACCGAUGGCGAAGGCAGCCCCCUGGGUCGAUACUGACGCUCAUGCACGAAAGCGUGGGGAGCAAACAGG
rnacentral:rRNA from 1 species